rnacentral:rRNA from 1 species
CCUACGGGAGGCUGCAGUAGGGAAUAUUGCUCAAUGGGGGAAACCCUGAAGCAGCAACGCCGCGUGGAGGAUGAAGGUUUUCGGAUUGUUAACUCCUUUUGUUAGAGAAGUUAAUUACGGUAUCUAACGAAUAAUCACCGGCUAACUCCGUUCCAGCAGCCGUGGGAAUACGGAGGGUGCAAGCGUUACUCGGAAGCACUGGGCGUAAAGAGCGCGUAGGCGGGAUAGCAAGUCAGAUGUGAAAUCCUAUGGCUUAACCAUAGAACUGCAUUUGAAACUGUUAUUCUAGAGUAUGGGAGAGGUAGGUGGAAUGCUUGGUGUAGCGGUAAAAUCCGUAGAGAUCAAGAGGAAUACUCAUUGCGAAGGCGACCUGCUAGAACAUAACUGACGCUGAUGCGCGAAAGCGUGGGGAGCAAACAGGAUUAGAUACCCGAGUAGUC